rnacentral:snoRNA from 1 species
AACCCAUGGUGAGAGCACCUUCUCAAUAGAUCCUUGUAUCUCUUCCAUGCAUCAUAGAGUGUUUCUAGAUCCAUCUACACAAAAUAAGAGAUAUCAUUCCUCAACUU